rnacentral:misc_RNA from 1 species
CGGUAACGUGGGCUUGUAACCCAGGUGGGAGCAACAAGGUGAUGGGACGUAGCACCAGCCCAAAUGGUUGGAUUCGGUGUGGCUGAUUUCUGGCCUGCCCGUUCCAAGCCGGUAGUUGAGCUAAGUGAUUCAAGCGAAAGCCUGGGUCACAUAGUUCAUAGAGAAGAGGGUACCGCGUGAGGCUGGCUUAACAGAGCAGCGAUCACCUCUCGCUUCCGACAGUGGAAGGAUAACAAGCCGGUUGUCGCCCGAGACCACAUGAUCAGAUGGGCUGUUCUAACUGGACCAUCACCUUCUUCUUUUCAUUUUUUUUAGGGUCAGUUUCAAUUUGUUAAUAAAUCUCAACAAAUUUUAUUUUCUUUUAAUAAAUUUGUAUGUUCAAAGAGGCAA